UACGAAGGGGGCUAGCGUUGCUCGGAAUCACUGGGCGUAAAGCGCACGUAGGCGGCCGGGUGUGUCAGAUGUGAAAUCCCGAGGCUCAACCUCGGAACUGCGUCUGAAACUACUCGGCUAGAGUACUGGAGAGGGUAACGGAAUUCACGGUGUAGCAGUGAAAUGCGUAGAUAUCGUGAGGAACACCAGAGGCGAAGGCGGUUACCUGGACAGUUACUGACGCUCAGGCACGAAAGCAUGGGGAGCAAAAGGG
rnacentral:rRNA from 1 species